AUGGUCUGCAAGCCUACAUUUACAACUACAACUACGACUACAAUUUAUUACACAUCGACAGCUCAUCCAUCUACAGCAAUAAUAACCCACACAGCCACAACGCAACCACCAACAACUCAGAGCACAACACAAUAUAUAAAACCAACAACACAAUACACAACGAAAACAACAACCGAGAAGACAACACAAUCUUCUACAACUCCAGUUAAAGCCACAACUACAACACAACUACCAACAGCUGUGAGCACCACAGAAUUCAAAACCACAACAGAACCACCAACCUCACAGAGCACAAAGGAAUACACAACACAACUACCGACAUCAGAGAGAACAAGAGAAUACACAACCACAACACGUCCAUCAACAACUGAAAGUACAAAAGAAACAUACACAACUCCGAUGGAAGAAACAACCACAAUAAAACCACCACCAACUGAGAGCACAACAGAACACCAAACCACAACACAUCCAUCAACAACUGAAAGUACAUCAGAAAAAUACACAACUCCGAUGGAAGAAACAACCACAGCACAACCCCCACCAACUGAGAGCACAACAGAACAGCAAACCACAACACAACCGACAACAAGUAAAAGUCCAAAAGCAACAUACACAACACCAAUGGAAGAAACAACCACACCACCACCACCACCAACUGAGAGCACAACAGAACACAAAACGACAACACGCCCAUCAACCACUGAAAGUACAACAGAAACAUACACAACUCUGAUGGAAGAAACAACCACAGCACAGCCACCACCAACUGAGAGCACAACAGAACACCAAACCACAACACUUCCGUCAACAACUGAAAGUACAACAGAAACAUACACAACUCUGAUGGAAGAAUCAACCACAGCACAACCACCACCGACUCAGAGCACAACAGAACACAGAACCACAACACGUCCAACAACAACUGAAAGUACAACAGAAACAUACACAACCCCGAUGGAAGAAACAACCACAGCACAACCCCCACCAACUGAGAGCACAACAGAACACCAAACCACAACACAUCCAUCAACCACUGAAAGUACAACAGAAACAGACACAACUCCGAUGGAAGAAACAACCACUGCACAGCCACCACCAACUGAGAGCACAACAGAACACAAAACCACGACACGUCCACCACCAACUGAAAGUACAACAGAAACAUACACAACACUGAUGGAAGAAACAACCACAACACAACCACCACCAACAGACAGCACAACAGAACACAAAACCACAACACAUCCAUCAACAACAGAAAGCACAACAGAAACAUACACAACUCCGAUGGAAGAAACAACCACAACACAAUCACCCACCUCAGAAAGUACAACAGAAUACACAACACAACCACCAACAACUCAACCAACCACACCAACAAAACAAUACACAACUGCAACUCAGCCAACUACUAAAGCCAUAACUUCAGUAAAAUAUAGCACUUCAGUGUCAACAGUGUCUACAACAGGUGUGGAAGCCACUACAAAUAUAAACUUGUGCUUGAAUGAACAUUUAAACAAUGCUUUCUACAAAUAUAACACCAGUAAUGUCAUAAUAAACACAAAGUGA
ensembl:lncRNA